UAUAGUUAUUAUCGAAUUAUGUCACUGCUUAGCCAAUAACCAAUAAUAACGUGUGACGAUGAAGUGGAAUAAAAUGAGACAAGUAAAUACUUUGUCUAGCCAUCUUUUGGCAAACGCACAGUACUUAGAUACAUAUAAUAUAACAUAUAACUCAUAUUCCUGCCUGAAGAGGUCAGCUUGACGCACGAAAAAGAUGGCGAUUUUUUAAGCGUACCGGAAACAUCCAUGAAAAUUGUGUGCACGGCGGCGCAUGAAAUCACGGCAGACGUUGGCCGUGUAGCGUGUUUAUCGACACGAGUGUUAUCGCGGUCGGAUCUUGCGCGAAGAGCAGCGCUCGUUCGGGUGGUACCAAUUUGUCGUUCCUUUAUCAACCGUCAUCUGAUGGCGACCCGACACCGCGCUGGGCCGCGGCCAACCGAAUGCAACGUUGCCUUGAAGUGACACCGGGCCUACAAUGGGGAACAAAGCGGCGUCCACUUCUUUGCCAAGGGUUUUGUUUCAUUCCGCGGUGGACAAGCCUUGUUAUUUGUCAUGCAUUUUGACCCUCGCCGAUUUCAUCUCGGAUAUUUUUCUCUGCCUGGUAGAGGUGCUCGCGCGCCAAUUCUAAAGAAGGUUCGUACACGCGUGUCUUUGAGAACCGAGUGUUUUUCGCGAGAAGAAAGUGAACGGUGUAUAAUAAAAAAUUGAUUUUAAUUUACAACGAGAAAUGUUCCUGUUAUUUCUAAUUGAAACGAUGUGGAUGAUUGACUAAGACGAUUAUAUCGACAGUUAUUAUAUCAAGAUAACUGAUUUUUUACACUGGCUAGAAAUAAUAGAAAUUGAAUUUGCAAGAAUAUACAAGCUAAAGAGAAGAUACAAGCAUCUUGUACCAUCGAUGCAGGUUCAAUCACAGAGUACAAGUACAAGUCCAAUGGCGUAAUCUUCCUUCAUGUCACUCGAUCAUCGUUCAGAUGAAUUUACAGUUUCACACUUAACGGGCCAUUAUGAUGUUAAUGGCGUUAUUAAUUACUGGAAGAGACACCUCCAAGCUUCGAUGAAGGUUUCCACAGUACGAUACAAUCGCGGCGAGGAGGCUCCAUUAACCUUUAAACAGAUGCUGAGAAAAAUGAAUAAUGAGUCGUGCAAUCGCGAUUUCAGAUGUUAAAAUAAUAAGCCGUAGAAUGUGAUCGCAUACGAUGUAGGUAUCAAUUAUUUAUGAAUGACACGGGACAAUUUUUCUACAAAGCUUCACACGAGUAACGAACCGGAACUAACGACCAAAUUAAACGUAUCUUUUGGGAAUAUCACGAUAUCUACAUUUCUUUUUGUAACGUAAUACCACUGAAUUAAGCAUUAAGUUAAGUUAAAAGGAUAAUACGUCGUGAAAUUUGAUCAGAAAUAUCAAAAAGAUUGGCCAUUUAUUAUUAUAUAAUUCUCAUUUGAAAAAUUAUAAUGAGCUUAAUUUGCAUUUUAGAAAAUAUAAGACAAAUUAUCAAUUUGUAUAUUACUGGAAAAAAAAAAGAAAAAUAAAUGGAUUUUUCUUAAAUUUCUAAUUUUUAAGAAGAUGAGAAAUAAAAGAUAAGCAGUAACAUCCAUUAAAUAAAUAAAUGAAUAAAUGAAAAGCCAAGAUCGAGAACAAAGAAAAGAAAAAGAGAGAUGCACAAGGCGGAAGUCUCCAUGCGUCCAAGGGUUAGCGGUCCAUGUAAGAAAAUGCUCGGUAUAAGGCACCUUCCGGCGAAAAUCCCUCGCUCUCUCGUGCCUCUCUCGCUGAAUAAUGAACCGUGUUCUCGAGUGGUUUGCGCGGUCGAGCGACCGGUCCCGUUUCCGUAAAUUAUAACCAUUAGCGGCACUUGCGUUCCGCGGCCUCACGUCCCGGUAAUUUUCGUGAAAUUAAACGCGCCGAAUCAAUUACUCGUUGGUAAUCGGGACGAUGGCCGGACAACCGCGGUGGGAAAUGGCGUGCGCGGCUGUCACCGUGCCAGGUUAUCUGCGUUUGUCAAGCGUGUGCGCACAACUUGGUAUCGUCACGAAACAUUCCCAUAAAAGUGUAAUUUGCCCGCUGAUUUUUGCCACGGUGUGUGUACAAUGUGGUUGGCUCAGCGGCGGGAACGACAAGAGGAUAAUUGGAGUUGGCAACCGGUUCCUCGAGCACUUCCGUUCAUAAAUAAGUUAUCGAUAUAUACUUUUUGAAUAUACGCGAGAUGAUUCGGGAUACUUUUUGUAAUCUUGCGUCGAUUAAAGUUUGUUAACGUUUGAAAGUUAAUGUUUUGUAUAAUUUCGAUGUGUGGGACAAUGGUUCUCAACUUUUACUAAUGUAAUCUUGCGUUAUUCAGAUAUUCGAUUUAUUCUUGCGUUCAUUUUUAAUAUAUAAAAUUUUAUAUAUAAAAAAUGAUAGUUUUCAAUCUGAUAAGACCUGUAAAUAGAUUGUGAAACGUUUCUC